GACGAACGCUGGCGGCGUGCUUAACACAUGCAAGUCGAACGGAAAGGCCCUGCUUUUGUGGGGUGCUCGAGUGGCGAACGGGUGAGUAACACGUGAGUAACCUGCCCUUGACUUUGGGAUAACUUCAGGAAACUGGGGCUAAUACCGGAUAGGAGCUCCUGCUGCAUGGUGGGGGUUGGAAAGUUUCGGCGGUUGGGGAUGGACACGCGGCUUAUCAGCUUGUUGGUGGGGUAGUGGCUUACCAAGGCUUUGACGGGUAGCCGGCCUGAGAGGGUGACCAGGCACAUUGGGACUGAGAUAGGGCCCAGACUCCUACGGGAGGCAGCAGUGGGGAAUAGUGCACAAGGGGCGGAAGCCUGAUGCAGCAACGCCGCGUGCGGGAUGACGGCCUUCGGGUUGGAAACCGAUUUCGCCUGUGACGAAGCGUGUGUGACGGUAAUGGGUAAAGAAGCACCGGCUAACUACGUG
rnacentral:rRNA from 1 species